rnacentral:misc_RNA from 1 species
GAUGAAGAACGUAGCGAAAUGCGAUACUUGGUGUGAAUUGCAGAAUCCCGUGAACCAUCGAGUCUUUGAACGCAAGUUGCGCCCGAAGCCAUUAGGCCGAGGGCACGCCUGCCUGGGCGUCACACGUCGUUGCCCCCCCCCAUCUACUCCUUCGGGAUUGCGGGGGGCGGAUGAUGGCCUCCCGUGUGCCUCGCCGCGCGGUUGGCAUAAAUGCCAAGUCCUCGGCGACGCACGCCACGACAAUCGGUGGUUGCGAAACCUCGGUUGCCCGUCGUGUGCGGUCGUCGCGCAUCGAGGGCUCGAAAAAAUUGCCGGGUUCCGGCUCGGCUUUCAACGCGACCCCAGGUCAGGCGGGGUUACCCGCUGAAUUUAAGCAUAUCAAUAAGCGGAGGA